ACAAUCUUCAGAAUGCCAUCCUGA
rnacentral:siRNA from 1 species